AUUAUAUAGCCCCACUGAAUAGAUUAACAGUUAAAAAUAUUUAUUGUUAAAACACAAAAAUGAUGUGUCAUUCUGGCUGUUACCAGAACUGUGGGACUGCUGUAGUAUGUGAUGAUUAUUCCUGCAAACAUCAUAUAAUAUUGCAGAUGCUUAAAGCUUUAAAGAUGUAUUUUUGUAUUUGCAUUUGCUCUUUAUAAAAGGGUUAACUAUAUCUUUCUUGAGAGUGUUUGAGAAAAGUUGGAUGAGCAUUAUGGAAAAUUGAAAUACAAAGACUGCUGAAGCCAGGAGCUGAAAUGUCUCUGAUGCUGCCUAAGCCUUCCAGAAGCUUACAAUGCACAGUGGAUUAGAUUUUCCUUUGGCCUUGUCAUUGGCAAACAGGAAUGUAUGAUAUGACAAGAACCAUAUGAGUCACAGGGUCAUAUCCUGCAUGUAGAAGAGCAUGACACAAGUAAUGGAAGAGAACUUCUACUUUCACUGUGAACCACAUUGUGUCUACCUCCUGAGCACAUAUGCACUGAGAAAAAAAAUCAUCCGAAUACUGCAAAAUUUCAGAGCAUAAAAUGGAAAGAGUAAAACCCAUCAAAGAAACUAUUACUGCCUUUGAUUCUU